rnacentral:lncRNA from 1 species
UUCCUAAUCCAGUUGUCUGUUGAUGGACAUUUGGGUUGAUCCCAUGUCUUGGUUAUUGUGAAUAGUGCUGCAAUGAACAAGAGGGUGAUGUGUCUUUUUUAAGGAGAGUUUUAUCCAGCUAUAUGCCCAAAAGUGGGAUUUCUGGGUCAUAUGAUAGUUCUAUGUAUAGAUUUCUAAGGUACCUCCAUAUUGUUCUCCAUAGUGGUUGAACCAGCACAUUCCCACCAACAGUGCAGGAGGGUUCCCUUUUCUCCAAACCCCUCCGCAUUUGUUAUUUGUGGACUUAUUAAUUAUGGGCAAUCUGACUGGUGUGAAGUGGUAUCUUAUGGUAGUUUUAAUUUGCAUUUCUCUAAUAAUCAGGGAUGUUGAGCAUUUUUGCAUGUGCUUGUUGGCCAUCUGUAUAUCUUCCUUGUUGUUAUUAUUUUGUAUCUAUUUUCUCCUCUGCCACCAGUUUCACAAUGAUGUCAACUAGACAGUCAGGACAGGUUGGUCUUCCUGUCUCAUGUUGGCAUAAAACUGUGCAAUAGUGAGGAUGACUAAAGAGUUUAUUUCAGAAGGAAUCUCUCCAAGAAAUGGCUUGAACAGUUUCAUUUUCCCCACCAUCUGGCAGAAUUGGUUGAAAUGAGAGCCAUUUUCAGCCUUCUCCCUUGCAAACCACAGAAAGCACAGAUUUCAUCAUAGAUCAUUGAGUAUAGGAGUAAUUUUAACUUCUUUUACAUCAGCUCAACUUUGAGCCUUGAGAAAAACCUGUCUAAAAUAUCUCAUUUCUAUGGUUUUCCUCUCUAAUCAUUUGGCUUCUGCUGUUGUGGUACUGGUAGUGGGUGAAAGUUUCCCCUCCUAAUUUUAUCUGACUUCAAUGCAAACAAGAUAUAAUAUGGUUUGAAAUUCAUCGAUUAGUGUUAUGAGUUCCCUUGACAUGUUGAUGAUCUCACUAAACAACUUUACAACAAUCUGCAGUAUAAGAAUUUUCACCAACAGAACUGCUAUAUCUUCAUUAAAGAAUAUGUGAGGAUCUUCACACUUUGACUUUGCUAUACAAAUUCACUAGGCGAUUGUUAACAGUUGUCAAUACUAGACUGUGUCACCUUGCAAUGUCACAAAUUAGAUUCCAGUUUUUAUUCACAGCACAACUUGUAAAAGGAGUUUAGUACUCAAUGUAUUCAUUUUAGACUUAUUUAAACACUCAAGUAGUAUUUAUUGAUUAGUCUACACUUAGCAUCAGAUUCAUUUAAAAAACAUGUGGCAAGAAAUGAAACACAGCAGAACAGCAGCAGGGAUUUCUUCUCAGUGGAAGUAGUCAGAGCAGACCAUACAGCAGUCCUGGCACUGUAGUAUAACACCUGCUAUAGUUCAACAGUGACUGAAUAAGACUCAGUUGAGUGGGAUGGGAAGCCACAUUAGCCCAGGAACCCACUUUCCAAAUAAAAACCAACAUUUAUUUUAGCAGUGCUCUAGGAAUACCUGUAAUUAUUGUACAGGGUAUUCUCUAUUAUGAGAGCUUUCAUGAAAUUCUAAGGUAUAGCUUAUUACCAGGAAUUUAGUAUUUCUUCAUAAUGUUUCUAUUCCAGAUGAAGUUUACCGAUCAAGGUCAUUUUAAAAUAAACUAUGUUGCCUGGAAACAAAAUAUGGUGUUUCACUUCUAUCAGAUUUUCACUUCUAAGCAGAGUUAGCCAGUUGUCAUAAGGUUAGAUGGGUCAAUAAAAAAGAAGAAAAGAAUUCUUAGCACUUCUCCCAAAAUAGGAGGACUAAUGUGUAUUGAGUUAUGAAUAACUCCUAUAAACCUCACAAAAGCUUUUGAGGGUAGUUCUUAACAUUUCUAUUUUACUGAUCGAGACCCCAACACAGGGAAAAUUAAACAAUUUCUCUCAAAGUAUCCAUAAAUGAGAAAUUAACUUGAUAUUUUUGGCCCCAAACCUAUGGUCUUUCCACAAUAUUACAUCUGAGUAACUUUGUAACUGGGUUCAACAGAUUUUUAGCAUAUGACCUGCCAAGAAUUUCAUCUCUAGGGUCUUAAAUAUAGUGCAGAGGUAGGUUCACAAAUAUUUAUGAUGUUUAGCUAUCUCUUUACCAGCUUGUGAAAAAAUGUCACAAUUAUUUAAAUACUAUUGAUGAUACCAAACCAUCAACUUGACACUGUGAGAAUCCUCUCAUGACUAAAUCCACACUAUGUGACUUAGUAAACUUCCCCAGGUUUUAUCACAGUUCUGUUACAUAUUCUCACCCAGUGAAAAAAGCAUUUGGGUCUGUCAUCUUGUAAUUAGUUACUUCAGAAAGAUCAAUAGUCACAAGGAGUUCCCAUGAUGGCUCAGCAGAAACUAAUCUGACUAGUGUCCAUUAGGGUGCAGGUUCGAUCCCUGACCUCACUCAGUGGGCUAAGGAUCUGGCAUUCCCAUGAGCUGUGGUGUAGGGUGCAUACAUGGCUCGGCUCCCACAUUAUUGUGGCUGUGGCCAGUGGCUACAGCUCUGAUUUGACCACUUGCCUGGGAACCUCCAUAUGCCGCAGGUGUGGACCUAAAAAGACAAAAAAAAAAAAAAAAAUCACUAGCCAUUUUCCCCUAAUUCAUCUGCCAAAAUAUACCGAACUCACCCAUCAAGCAUGGUACAAGUUAGGGGUUCUUCAAACAGCCAGUCAUGUAGAAAGAGAAUCGGAAAAUUGGUGUUGCUGCCAGGUUGGAGUGCUGUCACAAAGAAUAUCAAAUAAUUUGAUAGCUGAGCAAAGGGUCAUGCUGGUCAGGAAGCAUAUUUUUGUGGUGUAGAAAGAUAAUAAAAAGGUCUCUCUCCAUUAAUCUAAGACACAGUAUUGCAGGCAUGGAAUCCUAAGAUCACAUGUGCUUAUUGCAGAAGCUCAAGCAUAGCAGAAAUAUGUCUGACCACAUGAUAUGGUGAAACAGCCUGACAGCCUAUUACAUAGACCCUGGUACUGAGCUCUGACUAAUUUCACUUGGGGGUCAGACUAUAUUCCCAACUUGGGCUAUUCUUCCUUCUACAUAAAGUGGAUAAAAUAGUGUACACUGGGAGGAUUGAUUUUCCUACCCACUAUUCUUUACGACCACUCCUGAUUUUGGCUUUAGUGCAGCAAUCAUAUUUUAUUAGCUUACAUCCCAUAAUGAUCAACACUUCCAUUAAGCAAGCUUCACCUUUUUUCUCCUCCAUUAAUCAUAAUGUAAUCCAAUAUGGACAUAGGUUUGAGCUGAGGAAGAAGCUUAUUUGCAUUCCCUAGUUCUACUUGUGAUCAAUCUUGAAUGUACCACCUCCAUUUCAUAAUGGAUUUCUGCUGGGCCACCUUUGCCUUUGACUUGUUCGUUCAGAUAGAAAUGGGAGUAUGAUGGAGAAGUUUUGAUCACAUGGUCACUCUUGUGACACAUCCUGAUAUCAGACUCUUUCUCUUCAAGUCCCAUAGCACAUCAGAACUAUUUUUGUGAAGUAUACAAUUAUAUUCUGCAGAUGUCAAAAAAUGGGUCCAUUAGUUUAUAGUUCUAACUUGUGAUUUUCAUAUUGAGGUUGCCAUGGGCUUCACAUAAGGUAUUUUCCAACAGCAUAUAAACCUCUAAUGUUUGUUGAAUUGUCCUGUUUAAACAACAGGAGUGCCUGAAUUGCCACCUGGACCUAAGGGCACUUUCAUAUUCUGAAUUUCAUUCAAAUCUGAUAGCUUUUUAUGUCUGUCUUAGUCUACUCGGGCUGCUAUAACAAAAUACUAUACAUUGGUACCUUAAAUAAUAGACAUUUAUUUCUCAGAGUUUUAGAAACUGGGAAAUCCAAGAUCAAGGUAUUGGCCAGUUCAUUUCCUUGUGAGAGCAUCCUUCCUGGCUUGCAGAUGUCACCAUCUUGCUGUGUGCUCACGACAUUUUUGUGAGCUUGAAAACAGAAAGAGAGCUUUGGUGUCUCUUCUUGUUCUUAUAUGGGAACUCAUCCCAUAAUGUAGGCCCUGGUAUCAUGACCUCAUCCAAACCUAAUUAUCUUCAAAUGGGCCCAUCUCCAAAUACUAUCACUUUGGAGGUUAGGGAUUCUAAUACAUGAAUUUGGAGAGGAGACAUAAUUCAGUCCACAGUAACAUCACAUGGUAAAAGUGGCACAUCAUUAUUUACAAGUUUGGAAUAUGCUAUUACCUCCAGAGCCAGUAAAAAAAAAAAAAAUUAACUAUCAGGUAGUGUGCCUCUUUAUUAGUAGUGUGUCAUAUAAGAUGCAUUGAUUUGUUCCUUAUGAUGCUGGGAUGUCUCAGCAUCCCUUAGAUACUCAGACCCCUAAAAAUUUUAUUGAUAUGGGUAAGGCCUUUCAUAUUUUUUAAAUCUCCAUGUUCUAGAAUACAGACAUAUUGCCAAGACCUCCAAUGUAUCUGUUCAUUCUUAGUUAUCUACUUCAACUAAUAAGACAUUAAUGACAGAUGACUAAUGUUCAGUGAAGUUCAGUGGGUUGUAUAGAUUUUUCAGAUCAAUUCAGACUAUAUUAUGACAGAAAGCAAGAGAGUUACCUAGCUCUGGAUCAAAAGCAUACAUAUGCACUAUCUUCUGUCCCAUGAGAUUAUGAAAUGCAUCUGGUUCACCUUCAUAAAAAUGGAAAACCACAUACUUUUCAGACUUAAUAGCAAAUUACUGUAUAAUUAAGGCCAUGAUUUAAUCCUAACUUUCAUGUUCCAUUCCCUUCGGUUCAGCACUCUCAGUACCUAAUUCUGUACAUAUUUAUUCUUGCUUCUAUUAUAUUAACCAUACUUAGUAACUGUUUCAUAAUAUAGGCCAUGUGGAUUUUACACUUCACCUUAAAUGUGUGAUUAUCUUCAAUUUAACACUAUAUUUCACUGAUAUUGAUUGCCACAAUAUCAUUCAAUUCCUUAGUCAUUAUUAUUUAUAUUUCUCAACUGAAACAUUACAAUUACCAAUACAGUUCCAGCCUCAACUAUCUUACUUUAGUUUAAGAUAAAUAAAUUCUAAUAAUUGUGCAGCUAUAGCAUUACAAUGGCUAUCACUGUUCCAUCUACAAGCAGUAAUCAUCUACAAGCAGUAAUGAUGUCCUCAUUAUCAGCCUUCUGGUGAGUGAUCCAUGUCCAAUGUCUUACUUUAGUCUGCUUCCUUAGAGCAUGCCUAGUAUCAAUGAUCUUAUUUGAAUUCCAUUGGAAACAAACUCUAUGAUGGAGAUCUUUGGCUGGAUCAAUACCUGUGGUAGGGAAGUAUAAUUGUGUGCAAUGAAAUACUGAACUGGGAUGCGGUAUUACGAAAGGCCUCAUCAGUCCCACAGAGAGCCCUUAACUUGGAAUGGCCCUUCACAGUCAUCCUGUCCUGAGAAAGAGAGCCAGUCCUUUAUAUGACUGCAUGGAUGUGGUAAUAAUAAUUGGAUGUGGUAUAGGAAGGGAGUAACCUAGGGUAAGUGGCUCCUCUUGUCUAAUAACGGUUCCUGGAAAG